rnacentral:rRNA from 1 species
AUGGCUCAGGAUGAACGCUAGCGACAGGCUAACACAUGCAAGCGAGGGGCAGCACGGGAGUAGCAAUACGUUGGUGGCGACCGGCGCACGGGUGAGUAACGCGUAUGCAACCUACCUAUCAGAGGGGAAUAACCGGCGAAAGUCGGACUAAUACCGCAUAAAACAGGGGCACCGCAUGGUGAUAUUUGUUAAAGAAAUUCGCUGAUAGAUGGGCAUGCGUUCCAUUAGGUAGUUGGUGAGGUAACGGCUCACCAAGCCGACGAUGGAUAGGGAACUGAGAGGUUGGUCCCCCACACUGGUACUGAGACACGGACCAGACUCCUACGGGAGGCAGCAGUGAGGAAUAUUGGUCAAUGGGCGGGAGCCUGAACCAGCCAAGUCGCGUGAAGGAAGAAGGAUCUAUGGUUCGUAAACUUCUUUUGCAGGGGAAUAAAGUGCAGGACGUGUCCUGUUUUGUAUGUACCCUGAGAAUAAGGAUCGGCUAACUCCGUGCCAGCCGCCGC